GGGACACUAUUUGGUCAUGGAGAUUGAGGCAGAGGUCACAUGUCUUACACUUCAACUUCUAACUCGUUUGUCACAUAUUCAGUACACCUGAAUACAAUUUGUUAUAGUUGUAAUGCUACUGGUCAUCUUUCUAAAUAAUGACCCACUCUAAGAAAUAACUGUGACACCCCUCACCCGUUUACAGUGUAGCCGAGCAAGACAUG
rnacentral:misc_RNA from 1 species